GGAUUUUGGGGAAAGUGGUCCUGUUCGAUGUUCCCAUUGCAAAGGUUACAUAAAUCCUUUCAUGAAGUUCAUUGAUCAGGAAAGGAAGUUUAUCUGCAAUUUAUGUGUGCCGCCAGAAUUUAGAACCAUUGCUUGAAAACAUCCCAACAAUGUUUCAGAGUAGUACAACUGCUGAGUCAUGUUUUGGUGCUGCAAUCAAGGUUCAUUGGAAUCUUGUCCUGAUGAGAGUGUAGUUUAUGAAGCUUUAAACUUUGAAUUGUCCUCCGACGUAUUAUAAUUCCUAGUUCAAAACUUAGCAAUUUGUCUUUUAUAAAAGACCAAAUUUCCAAUUUUCAAUGUUGUUUAGGUUCGCAAACAAGAUGCUGUAUUUGGACUUGCUGUUAGUAAAGGACUUGCUGUAUUUUAUUUAUAUCUUUAUAUUUAAUCUAA